rnacentral:rRNA from 1 species
CCUACGGGAGGCAGCAGUGGGGAAUAUUGCGCAAUGGGCGAAAGCCUGACGCAGCGACACCGCGUGAGGGAUGAAGGUCUUCGGAUCGUAAACCUCUGUCAACAGGGAAGAACGGUCACUGUGCUAAUCAGCAGUGAAUUGACGGUACCUGCAAAGGAAGCACCGGCUAACUCCGUGCCAGCAGCCGCGGUAAUACGGAGGGUGCGAGCGUUAAUCGGAAUUACUGGGCGUAAAGCGCUCGUAGGCGGUAUGUCAAGUCAAGGGUGAAAUCCCCGCGCUCAACGUGGGAACUGCCUUUGAAACUGGCAAACUGGAGUGUGUGAGAGGAUAGUGGAAUUCCAGGUGGAGGAGUGAAAGCCGUAGAUAUCUGGAGGAACAUCAGUGGCGAAGGCGACUAUCUGGCACAUAACUGACGCUGAGGAGCGAAAGCGUGGGUAGCAAACAGGAUUAGAUACCCCGGUAGUC